ensembl:lncRNA
UGAAUGUGUAACUAUUGUUUGAAAAAUUUUGUUAAAAUGUCUGUAACUGAGAGGUUGGUUUUGCAUAUUACGAGAGGAUAAAUAGAGUCGAAUUAAAGGUGGUGAAUGUGUGAUCAGUGACCGAGCUUAAGGGUCACCGUUUAAGUGUGUGAGCGCGUGAUGAGUUUGACUGAGGGAGAGAAUGCUGCAGCUCUUUUCCUGAUAUUCCGGUGUUUGGAAAAAUACAUUGAGACACACGAAAGAGAUCCAGGAGGAGACGAGGAAGCGGCUGUCAGAGUGGUGAGACGGGUUGUGGAAACCGAAAGUGAAGUACAACAGAGUAACUGAGGAGGCGGAGCUAGAAAACGUCAUAGGAGGAGGUGAGUGAGUGUGUGGCAGAAUGGGUGACAGGGCGACCUCUGGUG